UUGGUCGUGGGUUGUGGAGGCCCCAGCAGGCCAGGGGCCGUCUCACACCAGGGGCCAGCUCCACUCCCCACAACGGAGACCCCAGGGGGCAUUGGGAAGGUGACCCCCAUCCAGACCUUGCAGGGAGCAGGACGUGGCUGUGGAAGGGAUUCAGGAGCUGAGGACAACUGAGGUUUCUCUACCAGACAGAUGCAGCGUCCUCCUGGCCCCUGAAGUUCAGCCGCUGGGGCCCCGUCUCAGAGCUCUCAGCACUGGGAAGCCACCAGAUCUCCGGAUGGGGGAUAUGCAGCCUACAGAGCCGAAUCCCGGGGUGCUAGGGACCCGCUCAGCACCUACAGCUCUCACUGAGCUCCAGCCGGUGGGGCCCACCAACUUGCAUAGGAAUUGCUGCACCAGUGGGGAUCUGGUCCUAGAUCAGGCCCAAGAACUGGCUUGAUCCCCUAGGAAAAGGUCCCUGCGGUACUGCGACCUGUCAACCACCUUUGGCUGAGAAGAGAGACACCUUCCAUGGAAGAGAAGGCACAGAGUCAGCCCACCACCCCCCGGCUCCAGCCGGUCAGUCAAGGCAUCUUUCCCCAUCCUUCCAGCCAGCCUCAGGGCGGUAAGCCCCUAGCCAGGACACAACCCUGCAGGGAGCAGCAGAUACCAGAGCUGUGCUAGGCAGAGAGAACUCCAGCAACAGGGAUAGUGGCCUCCCCCUCUGCCGCCAUGCCGACUGCUCCGACACCCCUCGCUGGAAUUAAGUUCUCCACCCUGGUGGUCUCUGGCUGCCUUUUCAGCUUGCUCCCGCCGCCUCCUGCCGAAUGAAAGUCACCCCCAGGAGAAGAUCCAGCUGCCAGGGCCAGCUCACCCCAGCUUGAAUCCCACUUAAGCUGACUCAGGUGCCUAAGCCUGUGUGCUGGCCAUCUGCAGAGGGAUGAGUUUCCUCUACAGGCCAGAAAAGCUUCCCCCGCUGUUGUUGAACUAGCUGAGAAAAAUGGGCACACACACCCCUUGGACCUACAGCAGCUGGAUGUUCUAAUGCACAGGCAAUGUGGCCUAGUGGGUGGGAGACCGGGGUUCUAAUCGUGGCUGUCCUGUGAUUUAGGACAAGUCACUUCCCUUCUCCUUGGGCCUCUAAGCGUAUGUCUGCACUGCAAUUAAAAGCCCACGGCUGGGUGUAGAUAUCUGGAUGCAGGCUGCAGCCUAGGCCCCUGGGAAGGGUCCCAGAUCUCAGGCUGCCAGAGCGAGAACAGUUAUGCUGCAACAGAACAGCUCUGCAAACUGAGCCAACUGGCCUGGGCCAGCCACGGGUGUCUCACUGCAGUGUAGACGCACCUGCCGAUCCCUCCCUAUGACAUGGGGCUGGCACGUACUUUGAGAGGCCCGGAGUGAAAGCACCUGUGGAAGUGGUAUUAUCAGUAAGUCUAGUAGGUAAUCCCGCUCCUAUAGAAGUCAAGGGGAACAUAAA